rnacentral:rRNA from 1 species
UGGGGAAUCUUCGACAAUGGACGAAAGCCUGACGAAGCAACGCCGCGUGUGUGAAGAAGGAUUUCGGUUCGUAAAACUCUUUUUUUAGGGAGGAAGAGCGCUUAGAUUAACUGUAAUGGUUUUGACGUUAUCGAACCAAAAAGCCACGGCUAACUACGUGCCAGCAGCCGCGGUAAUACGUAGGUGGCAAGCGUUGUCCGGAAUUACUGGGCGUAAAGCGAGCGCAGGUGGUUUAUUAAGUCUGAUGUGAAAUCCCCGGGCUCAACCGGGGAAGUGGAGUGGAAACUGGUUGACUUGAGUGGAGAAGAGGGGAGUGGAAUUUCAUGUGUAGCGGUUAAAUGCGUAGGUAUAUGGAGGAACACCAGUGGCGAAGGCGACUAUCUGGUCUGUUACUGACGCUGAGGUUCGAAAGCGUGGGGAGCAAACAGG